CCCACGUUCAACCAAUCAGGUAUCAGAGUUCCUUGACCUCUUUAGCCACACCCACAAACUUCAUGCGGAAGAGCGUGAAUUUGAACCGGAAUCAUGGCAGAGGCAGGCGAGGCCGACGUUCAAACGAAGAAAAGCAAAACCCUCAUCGUACGACAUCUGCCCAGAGAACUCACCAGAGAUGAAAAAGAGGAUCUCCUGAAAUAUUUUGGUGCCUCGUCUGUCAGAGUGUUGUCAGAGAAGGGACCGCUAAAACAUAUGGCAUUUGCAACCUUUAGCAGUGAGACCUCAGCCUCUAAGGCAUUGAACAGACUUCAUCAGCUGAGAAUCCUUGGUCACACACUAGUGGUUGAGUUUGCGAAAGAUCAAGACCAUGUCACUGUUUUGAAAGACCCACCAGUGUCUAAGAGUGGUGUUGGUGCUCAGUCUGAGAAGGGGAAGAAAGAAAAACAACAAAACAAUGUUCCUCUGGUGGACAACAGCAUUGCUCCCAGUCUGGGGUUGAAAUUUCAGACAAAUCCAACGCUGAAAUAUUUAUACCCUCCUCCUUCAAGUGGAAUUUUGACAAACAUUACACACACUCUUCUGAGCGUGCCCAAGUUCUACGUUCAAGUUCUUCACCUGAUGAAUAAGAUGAACCUUCCCUGCCCGUUUGGACCAGUGACGGCUCCUCCGCCAAUGUUUGAGAUGCCUCCAGGCCCAAUGCCGCCCAUGCCCCCACCCUUCCCCCCAGAGAACCCUCCUCUCCCGGAGCACAAGGAGGGGGCGUCCGGCAGUGAAGAAGAAUCUGAGUACGAAAGUGGAGAUGAGGAGGACAAGGAGAGGAUGAUCAGACUGAUGGGCCUCGUUAACCAGCCAUGCAAAAGACCGUUGAGAACAAAGACUUCUUCCAAGAGAAAGAAACCCAAACUAAAAGACCUCCUGUUUAUUCCCAAACCACAUUCCCACGGCCCCUCAGGCCCAGCCCUGCAGCCAUCAGACGUGUUCGAGCAACCUCAGACGCUUGGACAGAAAAAGAUUGAGUUCCAUAUAUCGGCUGAGGUGUCCACCAUCCUCGAGGGUCCCAGACAGAAUCAGGAACCACAAUUCACAGAUGCGAACGAAGACACGGCAGAGUUGGAGGUUUCCGUUCAGGACACUGCAGAAGGGUUUGGGAAAAUCUACCCAAGCGCUCAGGUCCCCAGACUCGAGGAAGAGAGGGAGGAAGAUGAGGACAUCCCCACGGAGUUCAUCUCUAGGAGAGAGCUAGAGAGAGGGAGACUCUCCAGAGACGAGAUGAAAAAAAUGUCUGUGUUUAAAAAUUAUGAACCUGGAGAGCCAACCUGCAGACUUUAUGUUAAAAAUGUUGCAAGGCAAGUUGAAGAAAAAGAUCUGAAGUUCAUCUACGGCCGGUAUAUCGACAUCUCCUCAGAGGAGGAGAGAAACAUGUUUGAUAUUGUUUUGUUAAAAGAGGGGAGGAUGAAAGGUCAGGCCUUCAUCGGGCUCCCCAGCGAGAGAAGCGCAGUGAAGGCCUUAAAGGAAACCAAUGGAUAUGUUCUCAGCGACAAACCUCUUGUGGUGCUAUUUGCCCGAUCUGCAAAACCUAAACAGGAAUCUGCUGACCCAAAGAAAGGAGGGAAAAAACACUGAACUGGUGGGUGAAAAGGCCAACAGUUUUUGUAUUUAUGUAUAUAUUUUUUAUAGCUGUCUGUUGAAGUGGGUGGGAGACCAAUGUACUGAUUAUUUUUUACUAUAAAUUAUUAUAACUGGUUUGGAUAGCCUCUUGAUCUUGAAGCUUGAAGAUUAAUUUUUAUUUUAUUUUUGAUUUUUUUUGUGUCAAGAUACAUUUUAACCCAACAUUUCUAUUUGUUUAAGAUGAUGUUGAUGUACAAUCAUGAGCCUACAGGAGCUCCAUCUUUGCUUCAUAUCCUUUAAAAUAUCCUUUAAAAGAGUUCUUAAAUUGCUUGCUUUGGUAAAAAAAAAAAAAAAAUUAUAUAUAUAAUUCUUCCAAAUGUCAAGCGAUGUUUUUUAUGUUACAUUACGCAUAAAGCUUGUUAUUAAUAUUUUUCCCUCCAAUUUUAUUGCAGAACGCUGCUGUUGAGCUCUGUUGGACAGGAGUUCAUCAUUGAUUGAUGUUGCAAAAGGUUGGAUCCUGAUGUUUAAUGGUACCAGUAUUGUUCUGCACGCACAACAUGUGCCUUUGAUGUGAAGGAGAAUAAAUUUAGAAGUCGCUAUCAGUCAGCCAGCUCAUCUUCCAGCAGCACAGCAACAGGUGGUGCUGUCAAUACAGCAGAGCUCAGACAAACACAAACACUACACAAGAAAGACUGUGACCAGGGCUGGCCCGACUCGAAGAUUAGCUGUUAUUUGUUCACUGUACUUUAGUCUGAGAUCUAAGAAUCUCAAGACGCAUUGUGCCAGGUUUGAUUUCAGGGACGCCAAAUGCUUUUGCUUUUCAUGAUCAAUCAUGAUGCUCAAUCAUGAUCUGUCUUGACACUGUAUAUUAAGCAUGAAUGAGAUUUGAGAUUUU